GCAGACGUUCAAACUAUUAUUUCAGAAACACUUUCAAUAUAAAAAUAUAGGCUACAUAGAGGCUCUUCUGCAGGGGGACAUAAUACGGACGUGGGUCCCCCCCCGUAACCUAAGCGUUAAUAAUGAGAAAAAAAUAUACCCUUUAAUAUCACGAAAUUAUUAUUACAGUAAAAUGUAAAAAAUACACAGACAGAUAAAAAAAUUAUAAACGGUGUUUUACACAGAUGAUGGACGCAUCAUUGCGGGCGACGAGCUGCAGAUUUCGAUCGUGUGCAUACCGUUGACAAUCGAUGGAGCAGCAAUUUUACUACAAAC